rnacentral:rRNA from 1 species
AUUGAACGCUGGCGGAAUGCUUUACACAUGCAAGUCGAACGGCAGCACGGACUUCGGUCUGGUGGCGAGUGGCGAACGGGUGAGUAAUGUAUCGGAACGUGCCCCGUCGUGGGGGAUAACGUAGUGAAAAUUACGCUAAUACCGCAUACGAUCUAUGGAUGAAAGCGGGGGAUCGCAAGACCUCGCGCGAUUGGAGCGGCCGAUAUCAGAUUAGGUAGUUGGUGGGGUGAAGGCCCACCAAGCCAACGAUCUGUAGCUGGUCUGAGAGGACGACCGGCGACACGGGGACGGAGACACGGUCCAGACUCCUACGGGAGGCAGCAGUGGGGAAUUUUGGACAAUGGGCGAAAGCCUGAUCCAGCCAUUCCGCGUGCAGGAUGAAGGCCCUCGGGUUGUAAACUGCUUUUGUACAGAACGAAAAGGUUUCUACUAAUACUAGGAGCUCAUGACGGUACUGUAAGAAUAAGCACCGGCUAACUACGUGCCAGCCGCCGCGGUAA